ensembl:lncRNA
CCAAGGCGGUUCCCGAUGCAAUGUCCGAUGCCGAGGCGGUGCCCGAUGCCGAGGCGGUGCCCGAUGCGGUGCCAGAGACGGUGCCAGAGACGGUUCCCGAUGUAAUGCCCGAGACCGAUGCUGUUCCGCAGGUCGAGGCGGUGCCCGAGGCUGUGCCCGAUGCCGAAGCGGUGCCCGAUGCUGUUCCGGAGGCCGAGGCGGUGCCCGAUGCGCAGGCCGAGGUCGUUCCCGAGGCGGUGUCCUUGUCCAAGGCCGUUCCCGAGGCCGUUCCCGAGGCGGUGCCCGAUGCCGAGACCGUUCCCGAGGCGGUGCCCGAUGCCGAGGCCGUUCCCGAGGCGGUGCCCGAUGCCGAGGUCGUUCCCGAGGCGGUGUCCUUGUCCGAUGCCAUUCCCGAGGCAGUGCCCGAUGCUGUUCCGGAGGCCGAGGCGGGGCCCGAGAUGGUUCUGGAGGCGAUACCCGUGUCCAAGGCCGUUCCCGAGGCGGUGCCCUUGUCUGAGGCCGUUCCCGAUGCCGUUCCCAAUGCCGUGACCUGGCCAUCGCCACAGCCUGCUCCUUACUGGCUCCCCGAUUGGCAGGUUCCGUUCGGGCCACUCAAAUGGCGAAUUCCUCCCUGGCCGUCUGCACAACGAGAAUGGACUGAUCCACCGUGGCCACCUGAACUGCCUGGCCCCUCGUGGUCCCCUGAACUUUCGGGUCCACCGUGGCCACCUGAACUGCCUGGUCCCUCGUGGUCCCCUGAACUUUCGGGUCCACCAUGGCCCCCUGAUCUGACCGAGCCACCUGGGCUACCA